ACGAAGGGGGCUAGCGUUGUUCGGAAUUACUGGGCGUAAAGCGCGCGCAGGCGGCUUCUCAAGUCAGGGGUGAAAGCCCAGAGCUCAACUCUGGAAUUGCCCUUGAAACUGUGGAGCUUGAGUACGGUAGAGGUGAGUGGAAUUCCCAGUGUAGAGGUGAAAUUCGUAGAUAUUGGGAAGAACACCGGUGGCGAAGGCGGCUCACUGGACCGUUUCUGACGCUCAGGCGCGACAGCGUGGGGAUCAAACAGGAUUAGAUACCCUGGUAGUCCACGCCGUAAACGAUGGACGCUAGCCGUUGGCAGGCUUGCCUGUCAGUGGCGCAGCUAACGCAUUAAGCGUCCCGCCUGGGGAGUACGGCCGCAAGGUUG
rnacentral:rRNA from 1 species